CUCAGGAUGAACGCGGGCGGCGUGCUUAACACCUGCAAGUCGAACGAUGAACCUCACUUGUGGGGGGAUUAGUGGCGAACGGGUGAGUAACACGUGAGUAACCUGCCCUUGACUCUGGGAUAAGCCUGGGAAACCGGGUCUAAUACUGGAUACGACCUUCUGGCGCAUGCCAUGUUGGUGGAAAGCUUUUGUGGUUUUGGAUGGACUCGCGGCCUAUCAGCUUGUUGGUGGGGUAAUGGCCUACCAAGGCGACGACGGGUAGCCGGCCUGAGAGGGUGACCGGCCACACUGGGACUGAGACACGGCCCAGACUCCUACGGGAGGCAGCAGUGGGGAAUAUUGCACAAUGGGCGCAAGCCUGAUGCAGCGACGCCGCGUGAGGGAUGAAGGCCUUCGGGUUGUAAACCUCUUUCAGUAGGGAAGAAGCCGGCCUUUUGGGUUGGUGACGGUACCUGCAGAAGAAGCGCCGGCUAACUACGUGCCAGCAGCCGCGGUAAUACGUAGGGCGCAAGCGUUAUCCGGAAUUAUUGGGCGUAAAGAGCUCGUAGGCGGUUUGUCGCGUCUGCCGUGAAAGUCCGGGGCUUAACUCCGGAUCUGCGGUGGGUACGGGCAGACUAGAGUGCAGUAGGGGAGACUGGAAUUCCUG
rnacentral:rRNA from 1 species